rnacentral:rRNA from 1 species
UGGUAGGACUUGAAUCAGUGGCGAACGGGUGAGUAACACGUAGGCAACCUACCUCUGGUUUGAGGAUAGCUCAUGGAAACAUGGGGUAAUACUGAAUAAGUUCUAUUGGGUAAAGCCGAUAGAUGAAAGGCGAGCGAUCGCCGACUGGGGAUGGACCUGCGGUUCAUUAGCUAGUUGGUAGGGUAAAGGCCUACCAAGGCGACGAUGGAUAGCCGGCCUGAGAGGGCGAACGGCCACACUGGGACUGAGAUACGGCCCAGACUCCUACGGGAGGCAGCAGCUAAGAAUCUUCCGCAAUGGGCGAAAGCCUGACGGAGCGACGCCGCGUGAACGAAGAAGGCCGAAAGGUUGUAAAGUUCUUUUCUUGUUGAAGAAUAACCCUCGUAGUUUAUGACGGGGGGAUGACGUUAAGCAGGGAAUAAGCCCCGGCUAAUUACGUGCCAGUAGUUGCGGUAAUACGUAAGGGGCGAGCGCUGUUCGGAAUUAUUGGGCGUAAAGGGCGCGUAGGCGGUUUUGCAAGCCGGGCGUGAAAGACUUUGGCUUAACCAAAGUUUAGCGCUGGGAACUGCAAGGCUAGAGUUUAACGGAUAGGAAGCUGGAAUUCCUGGUGUAGGGGUGAAAUUUGUAGAUAUCAGGAAGAACAUCGAUGGCGAAGGCAAGCUUCUGGCUUUAGACUGACGCUGAGGCGCGAAAGCGCGGGGAGUAAACAGGAUUAGAUAUCCUGGUAGUCCGCGCUGUAAACGAUGCGCGCUGGGUGUCUGCGUUUAUGCGUGGGCGCCGUAGCUAAUGUGUUAAGCGCGCCGCCUGGGGAGUAUGCUCGCAAGGGUGAAACUCAAAGAAAUUGACGGGGGCCCGCACAAGCGGUGGAGCAUGUGGUUUAAUUCGACGAUAUGCGAGGAACCUUACCAGGGCUUGACAUAGUAGCGACGGUCGUAGAGAUACGGCUUCCCUUCGGGGCGUUAUUACAGGCGCUGCAUGGCUGUCGUCAGCUCGUGCUGUGAAGUGUUGGGUUAAGUCCCGCAACGAGCGCAACCCCUACUAUCUGUUGCCAACAGGUUAAGCUGGGGACUCGGAUAGAACUGCCGGUGAUAAACCGGAGGAAGGUGGGGACGACGUCAAGUCAUCAUGGCCCUUAUGUCCUGGGCUACACACGUGCUACAAUGGCCGGUAUAGAGCGAUAUUGCCAAGCCGCGAGGCGGAGCAAACCGCAGAAAGCCGGUCUCAGUACGGAUUGAAGUCUGAAAUCCGACUUCAUGAAGCUGGAAUCGCUAGUAAUCGCGCAUUAGUAUGGCGCGGUGAAUACGUUCCCGGGCCUUGUAUAUACCGCCCGUCACACCACCCGAGUUGGGGGUACCCGAAGUCGCUAGUCUAACC